UACGUAGGGCGCAAGCGUUAUCCGGAAUUAUUGGGCGUAAAGAGCUCGUAGGCGGUUUGUCGCGUCUGCCGUGAAAGUCCGGGGCUCAACUCCGGAUCUGCGGUGGGUACGGGCAGACUAGAGUUCGGUAGGGGAGAAUGGAAUUCCCGGUGUAGCGGUGAAAUGCGCAGAUAUCGGGAGGAACACCGGUGGCGAAGGCGGUUCUCUGGGCCUUACCUGACACUGAGGAGCGAAAGCGUGGGGAGCGAACAGG
rnacentral:rRNA from 1 species